UCCUGUAUUGGUUGCCUAAUGUAACGGAAAUUGACCCCAGAUGAGUCCUAACUUUCGUCUCUCACCCAUUUGUGAAGUUAGGUUGACGUGGAGGUACUGCCCAUUCUCCUUGAAAGCUUUGCCCUUUGCGUUGCGAUCAUGGCCCAUGGGUUGCUACUAGUUCCGUCGGAUGCAGAACUUUUGAAGGGUGCAUAGCAUGUUGUUGUUUACCCACAAAGCGUUUAUGGCUCGAUGCGUAUGACGGCUGCGCUUGCCUUGGUCCCGUUUAUAACUAGUUUGGACGGGGCUUAUGCCGUGCUGGCGUCGCGAAGGAAUGCUACCUGAUUGAUCCUACCAAUAGUCAUAUGCUUAUCUUAA
rnacentral:misc_RNA from 1 species